GACAGAGGGUGCAAACGUUGUUCGGAAUUACUGGGCGUAAAGCGCGUGUAGGCGGCCCUGCAAGUCGGGUGUGAAAUCCCACGGCUCAACCGUGGAAGUGCACUCGAAACUGCAGGGCUAGAGUCCUGGAGAGGAAGGUGGAAUGCUUGGUGUAGAGGUGAAAUUCGUAGAUAUCAAGCGGAACACCGGUGGCGAAGGCGCCUUACUGGACAGUGACUGACGCUGAGACGGCGAAAGCGUGGGGAGCAAACAGG
rnacentral:rRNA from 1 species